GCGGGUGGGGGGGUCUCGGGUCUGGGCUUGAUGGCGCAGGGGGGUCGAGGUCAGGGUGUACAACGGCAGGGGGCUCGGGGCUGGGCUCGACGGCAAUGAAUGGUGGCUCGGGGGCAGUUUUGAGCAAUUCUGUAUCAAUUUGACAAAUGAAAAACUACAGCAACAUUUUAAUCAGCAUGUCUUCAAGAUGGAGCAAGAAGAAUAUACAAAAUAAGAAAUUGACUGGAGUUAUAUAGAGUUUAUUGACAAUCAAGAUGUUCUUGAUCUCAUUGAAAAGAAACCUGGAGGAAUCAUUGCUCUUCUGGAUGAGGCGUGGAAACUGGUGCCCUUCAGGCUGCCAAAAAUAAGCUGGAAAAGCAAGUUGAAGAAUUGACCUGGCGUCUACAGCUAGAGAAGCGAAUGAGGGUAAGCUUUGCUUCUUCUUUUCUAAUUUUUAUUUUAGAUUAUUUUUCUGCUUUUAUAUUUCCAGUUGUUAUCUUCCUAGAGAUUAAUUGAUAUUUAUGGUACUUGUAUCAUGUUUGAUUGAUAUGAUUUGAUUGAGUUUGAUACUUUUACCAUGUGUUUUGGCUAUGUAAUUUAGAAAACAUAUUAAAAAGAUUAAUUCAACUACCAAUUUUAUCCACUUAGCAUGUGAUAAUUUUGAUAUUCCACUGCUCUGAGAAUAUUUGAAAAAUGUUAUACUCCAAAUCCAAAACUAAUACUAAUCCAAAAGAAAAAAAAAAGAACAGAAUAAGUAAAGAAUAAAUGAAUUACCUAAUGUAUAAUAACAAGAGUGGGCAGUAACCAAACAAAUUAAGAACUGAAACAAUUGCAGAAAUGGAGCACCUGAUUUUUUUUUAGGUACCAUUUAAUCUAUAUAAUAUACAUGGAUAUAUACAUGUAACAUCAGCCAUACAUUAUAUAUCAAUGAAAAAUUGAAAAUAAAUCUCUUGUUUCAUAUCAGGCAAUGAGUCUAUAUUCCACAGUAUUACUAUCUGCUAUUGAUAUUUGAUUUCCAUGUCCAGGAGAGGAUAUUUUUGUAUGCAUCUGUUUGGCAAUCUUGAUAUUAUUAUUUGAUGACGAGGGUGAAAAUAACUUAAUAGCUUGUUGCUAAAUUCUUAUUUUCUUUCCCAAUUACCAUGAGCCUAGUUCAUAGCUCCUACUAGUUUUUCUUCUGGGUUUAUUCUGGCUAUAUAGUGGCUGUAGUUAAGGUGUUUGGUCAAAGGCAGAUCUCUUUAAUGCUUUAAAUUUUGUUAUCUAUAAUUCUGUAAAUUCGCUUGUAUUCGGACCAAUUGCAGCGGCGCAGGAAGGGACUCCUCCAACAGGUUCUGUCAGCUCUCUUCUUUCUUUGUAUUCAACUUUUUCUUUGUUAUUAUCGAAUUGAUUAGAAGCUGAAAUAGUUAUUAUUGAGAAGAUUGAAUGCUGAAAUAGAUAAUAUAGAAUUGAGCAGUGGGUUUAUACUUUAUAUUUUUGUGAGUAAUUGAUGUGGUUACUAGUUUAUAUAUUGCUUAAUAUCUUGUUUCCACUUGAGAAGAUUCAUUUGGACAUUUGGUUUCAAAUCUUUUAUUUUGCUCAGAUUUUCAUUUUUAAAGCACACAAGUGUUUGGCAAAAUGUGUCGGAGAAUAUUAAGAAUAUUUGAUGUUUUGAACUUAUUGUUUAUUUCACAAAAUGUCUCAGAGAAUUAUAAGCAUAUUUUAAAUAUACCCGAAAUAUACGUUGGUUUGGUUGAACACUAUAAUAUACAUGUGUACCUAUAAGAUACAAAAUAAACAUAUAAGAAUCUGAUCUCACUUGGCUAGUGGUUGCUCAUUUUUUUGUUCUGUUACCAGAAAUUAUAUUUGGACAUGGAAGUAGUGUGUUCGAAAGUUUCAAACUUUGGAGUCUUUUGGCUUUUAUUGAUUGUUGCUUUUAUUAGUAGGCAGAAGUUAGGCCAUGUAGAUAUUGUUGGGGGCUACUAUUUGGUCAGAAGGCACAGACAAAAAAAUUAUUAACUUAGUGUGGUAAUGCAAUUAGAUAUAUUGUUUCCUGUGCCUUCUAUUUAGAGGCUCGUACUAUCAGGGGGCUUGGGGCUGGGCUACAACAUAUAUAAUAUAUAGAUAGUUGGUGGUGACUCUUCUACAUGCACAUAAAUAUUAUAAAGAUUGUAGGUAUAAAUAUAUGUAUAUAUAUUUAUAUUAGUUUUUUGUCAAAAUGUAAUCCAUCUUUGCAUUUUGAAAAUACAUAAACUAAGUUAUGAUUUAGUUUUCUAUGUAUUUUAGGUGGACAAGCUAAGCAUUUGACUCAACCCAAGGCUGAGAAGAAAGAGUAAGAUGAGCAUUUGGUUUUUCUCUUCUUUGCAUUAUUAUUUAAUGAUUUAAUUCAGAUUUGACUCACUUUCAUUAUAUUAUAACAUUGUAAAUGUGUGUAUGUGCUGAGACAGACUUCAAAGAAACUAUUUUGCAACAGUUUGCAAGAGGUAUGCUUCUAACUUUUAUUUUAAUACUAUGCAAAUGUUAGAGGAGUUUGAAUAUCUUAAAAAUUCAUCCAUAGUGAAGUAGGUUAUGAGAUUGUUACUGUGUGCUGCGGUGAUAACGGAAGGUUGAGAACUUGUGUGUUUUAGUGAAGUAGGAUCUGAGAAAUUUGUGUGCUGCGGAGAUAAGAAAGAAAACUUGUGUGUUGUUUGAAUUGAUGUAGACUUGUCUAUGAUCAUCCUAUAAUUGAAUUGUGUUUGUUUGAUUGGUUUGAUUAUAACAUAUACUUGUAUGAAUGUACAUAUUGUGUGUUGGCAUAUGCAUAUAGCAUAACCUUUUGUAUUUCUUGUUUUGUAUAUGUUAGUUUUCUUCUUGUCCCUUGUCUAAUGUCUUUGGUGAGGUGAUUUAUAACAUUGAGCAUCACUUUUGGUUCUUGUGAUCACAUGUAGGUUCAAUAGUAUAAAGUUCUAUACAAAAGCUUGACGUUAUUAGCAUAUUGGUUGAUAAUUCAUGAUUUGUUUUUUUGCACCAGAACUACUAUCUCAAUUUGUGUUUAUUUUAAUUGAAGCAUAGCUUUAUGUUUCAUUGUAGUCUAAUAGUUUGAUCAUUUUCUUACUUAAAUAAUAUUCAAGUUAUUUUUUUUCUUCCAAAUUGUAGUUGUUUUCACCAUGUUCGAUGGCCUUAGAUGAAACAAUGUAUUCUUUAAACAAUUGAAAAUUUUCUAAAAAAAUCAAUUGGUGAGUUUUGGGUUCAAUCAAUUGAGACAUAGGAUAUAUAUUUAUAUAUUUACUCGAUGAUUUCUUUUUCUGCACUAGAACUACUAUCUCAAUUUGUGUUUAUUUUAAUUGAAGCAUAGCUUUAUGUUUCUUUGUAUUCUAAUAGUUUGAUCAUUUUCUUAUUUAAAUAAUAUCUAAGUUAUUUGUUUUCUUCCAAACUGUGAUUGUUUUUACCAUGCUCGAUGGCUUUAGCUGAAACAAUGUAUUCUUUAAACAAUUGAAAGUUUUCAAAAAAAAUCAAUUGGUGAGAUUUUGGUUCAAUCAAUUGAGACAUAGGAUAUAUAUUUAUAUAUUUACUCGAUGAUUUCCUUUUCUGCACCAGAACUACUAUCUCAAUUUGUGUUUAUUUUAAUUGAAGCAUAGCUUUGUGUUUCAUUGCAGUCUAAUAGUUUGAUCAUCUUGGUGCUCUUAUUUAUAACUAUAUUAUCUUUUCUUUUCUUUCCAAGUACUAUGGACUUAGAAUCUUAUGCAUAUUACCUACACAGUGCAUGUCUUUAUAUGUGUAUAUAUGUAUAUUAAUUUCUCGAUGUUUAUUGUAUAUUUGCUAAUGUGCUAUGAAUGAUUGGUCAUUUGGUUUAUUAAUGUCUGUGAUUUCAUAAACUAACUAGCUUGAGCACUUUUAAAUUGAGACUGACAGGUAUGCAUUCCUUAGUUUAAAGAAUUAAGACUAACUACUUAAGCCAUGAGGCUAUCCAAUUUGAUAAGAAAAAUACAACUUUUAUAUAAAUUAUUUUUGUGACUGAAAACCACAAUCAUCCUUUUUAUUUAUUCUGCAACCUCAAGUUCUCUAUUUAUUUUAGUUUUGGUUUAACUUUAAUGGUGUUUAUUCUGUAUUUUAGGCUAAAACUCUACUUGAAUAUUUAAGAGAACCAAGACAAUUAUAUAAGAGAACCAAGGCAACACAAAAUUCUUCUUCAAGUUGUUGGGUAUUAUUUUCUUUCUUGCUUGUAAGAAUUAUGUACAGUGAGGAUUUGAUGUAUUAUUUACAUCGAGAAUAAUGAAUUUUUAUUGAGAAUUAUAAUGAAUUUUCAUCGAGACUUAUUUAGUCUCAUGGGGAUUUGAUGUAUUAUUUACAUUUCAAUUGUAUGAAUAAAUGUUGUAUGUAUAUGAAUUUUUAUUGUGAUAAAUAUAAUUUUUUUUACAAA